AGAGUUUGAUCCUGGCUCAGGACGAACGCUGGCGGCGUGCUUAACACAUGCAAGUCGAGCGAGGCCCUCCUUCGGGGGGUGCCCUAGCGGCGAACGGGUGAGUAACACGUGGGCAACCUGCCCUCAGCUCUGGGAUAACUCCAAGAAAUUGGUGCUAAUACCGGAUGUGACCGCUGACCGCAUGGUCUGGUGGUGGAAAGAUUCAUCGGCUGGGGAUGGGCCCGCGGCCUAUCAGCUUGUUGGUGGGGUGAUGGCCUACCAAGGCGACGACGGGUAGCCGGCCUGAGAGGGUGACCGGCCACACUGGGACUGAGACACGGCCCAGACUCCUACGGGAGGCAGCAGUGGGGAAUAUUGCGCAAUGGGCGAAAGCCUGACGCAGCGACGCCGCGUGAGGGAUGACGGCCUUCGGGUUGUAAACCUCUUUCAGUAGGGACGAAGCGCAAGUGACGGUACCUACAGAAGAAGCACCGGCCAACUACGUGCCAGCAGCCGCGGUAAUACGUAGGGUGCAAGCGUUGUCCGGAAUUAUUGGGCGUAAAGAGCUCGUAGGCGGUCUGUCGCGUCGGCUGUGAAAACCCGAGGCUCAACCUCGGGCCUGCAGUCGAUACGGGCAAACUAGAGUACUGCAGGGGAGACUGGAAUUCCUGGUGUAGCGGUGAAAUGCGCAGAUAUCAGGAGGAACACCGGUGGCGAAGGCGGGUCUCUGGGCAGUAACUGACGCUGAGGAGCGAAAGCGUGGGGAGCGAACAGGAUUAGAUACCCUAGUAGUCC
rnacentral:rRNA from 1 species